CUUUCAAUUUUUAAGAUGGCAUGUGAAUGGUCCGUUCAAAUCCUAAAUUAUUUGCCCUUUUCUUCCAUUCUUGCCCUUGUUCUACCCUACAUCAGCGAACAUCAGUAUUGAAAUAUUGAAACUGAGACUCCUCGCAUCACUGAAACGUUGCAUGAUUGAGACUCUAUCAUCAGUUACAAAUACUGAGUUUAAUUCUUUAAUCAAAUCAUGUAUUGAAUCUCGAAAUUAAAACCGUAUAUGAUUUGUGAUCAGACUGAAACCGUCUCUAUUGAUGAGCGGAAAUUGAUAAGUCAAAAUUAAUGAUUCUCAUUCGUCCUCUUAGUCUCUUGCCCCUCCUGCAGUGUAUUUAACACUCUUCAUCACCAUGGCCUACAAUUGAAUCCCCUCUUCAUCACCAUCAAUUGAAUGGUAUCUUUUUAACUCUCUCCGAUCUGCUUAUUCCGCUACUCCGACUAAUCUCAAGAUUAUAGAUCUGUACGUCGUGUUUGCUUUCUUCACUGCCCUAAUUCAGGUAUUAGAUCUGUACGAAUCACUUUUGAUUGAUAAUUUUCGGUUGAUUGAAUAGUUGUUGUGGUUAUUUAUUUGGAUCUAAGAUCAGAUUAUUUGAAUUUACUUGUUUAUUUUGUUGACCGACUUUGAAAGUUCUUCUAAUUCCAUGGAUUAUUAAACAUUAGUAACUAGAUAUACACUGUAAUUAUGUUUUAGUGUUGUCAAGUAGCUAAUAUGUAUGAAACUUCAUCUAUGUUGUUGCAUUUGAAAUUCAGAAUUUGAGUUAUCGUCUUGGUUUAGCGCACAAAAGCGACAAGGUCUAAAUCUGUCUCAACAAGCGUAAAAGCGAAAUGUUUUUUGUACCUGAGGUGCAAAUGAUUAUAUAAUCUUUUUAUAUAUUUCCUAUAGGUUCUAGCAUCAUUUACCCAAUAUAUAGAGACAAGUAACUAAGUAAGCUUUAUAUAUGUUUUAAUAUGGAAAUUACAUACAUGUACAACCUGAAAGGCCUUAUAUAAAACAACCUGAAGCACAUAAAAUAUGGGACAUACAUGAGGCGCGCGCCUCUUAUUCAAUUUUUUUGCCACGAAAUUGUGCCUCAGGUGUGCUUUUUUACAAAAAAGUGUGCCUUAUGCUACCGAAAGCGCAGGGGCUUGAGCCGCAUUGCUUUUUUAAACUAAGGACUUAUAGUUAUGUACAUAUGUCUAUCUGUGUUUUUGAGUUUUGUUAUAGGCUUAUAGUUAUAUAUGUACAUGGAUGGUUGGUCUUUACAGCGUUUAUAGUUACUGUUGGUGGUUCUGGCUUGAGUCGGUUGAAGAAUUCACAGCAUAGUUCAAUUAUUAUGUAAAUCAGUUUACGAGUUCAGGAAAUUUAAUCUUGAAAAAUAAAGACUUCCUCGAUGAUAUUUGUUGGAGCAUUCAACUACAUUAGGGAGAUCUGCUACAUUACCGCUCCAUUAGGAUCCCUAAAAUUGGGAACAAUUUUAGGGAUGCAACCGUGAUUCCUUAAAUAUACAGAUUCAUUAUUCAUUCCCUGUAUCUAUUCUUCAUAUUUUUUGUGAGUGGGAGAUAGGGAAAAAGUAAUAGACUAGAAUAAAGAAGUAUUAUAAAAUUGAAUAGGAUUAUAGGAAUGAGAUGUGUGAGGUUUUUUGUUGUGAUGUGAAUAGGUCAUUUACCGUUAACGUUUAGAACACCUCCUGUGAGUCCUCCAAAACCAAGUUACUUAACCGGAAUGCGAAGGGUCUGUUCACUUGAAUUCAGACCACAUUUAAUGGACUCGGGGCUAGCCGACCCACUUUUGGGUUCACCCGGGGUUUCCAGAUCAGCAUCAGAUCGCAGUUUUCUUCUGCAAUCAACAAUCUACAACUGGAGCUACAGUCCUUUUUCAAAACCACAUCUUACAGCAACCAAUGGUGCUGAUGAAUUUGCAAUCAAACGUGAAAAAAGGGAAAAUCUCACUCUAAACCACAUCACAAAAUGCCAAUGUGUUGAAUUUGGAAUUACGAGGAGGCGACAUUGCUAAUAAUCACGAAUAUCCAAAUAAAGGGAUAUCAAAACUAUGCUUAGUGAACGAGCUUCUGCUUGUAGCCUCAAGUGACGGAAAUGUGCGAAUAUGGAAAGAUGACAUUUCUAGAGGCAAACAAAAACUCAUAACCGCGUUUUCUUCUAUUCAUGGUCAUAGACCUGGUGCCAGGAGUGUUAGUGUUGUAGUUGAUUGGCAGCAGCAGUUUGGUUAUAUGGUUUUACAUUCCGUUUGGUGCAUUCUUAAUAUCAAUUAUACAACUUACACAUGCAUGGAGUUGUGGACCUGCGAUUUUUUUCACCUACGGGUUGAAACACAGGUCCAACUCCUUUCAUAGUUGAUACACAGUCGGAACACAUGUAACCUUAAUUUCUUUCAUUGAUUGGUUCUUGGGGAUGACAGUGAUGGUGGUGAUCUGCAUCCCACCACAGGUGACCCUAUUUUCAUUCAAUGGUUAUAAUGGACAAGAAGAGCAAAUAAGGGAACAAUAGAAUAGAGGGAAGGUGCCUGAAAACAAAUAUGUACACAACAUAGCAGGUCUAAUUAAGGUACAGUACAUUUUGCAACUCAGGUAGCGGGUCAAAAUGGGUGGGCGGGCAGAAUCAUGGUUUAAAAAAACGGCCAAGGCGUCCGUACUGAGGCGCGCCUCGAGGCGGAACAGAGCAAAAUGGUAUAUGAGGCGGCGUCUCAGGGACACAUAUUAUACGUACGCCUCAAUGGUGGGCUAAAUCGUAACUAGCCAUCUAAAUAAAGGAAAUGAAAAGAAUAAAAAACAACUUGUUGUCGUCAUUUUUCUCCAGGAUAUGUAAUCUUUACCUAGGGUUUCCCAAUGUCUGACCAAAAUCUCCAUUAUUCUUCUUCAAACGGCAGCAGGAGUGGCUGCACGCCAUUU